CUGUCAAGUCAAACUGGAAGAAGCAUUUACAUAGGCGCUACACUCAGCUGGGCGGAACCAAUCUGCAGCUGCAGGUUUGCUACCGGCAGCAUAAAAUGGGACACACGCAGCACUGAGAGGGAAGGAGAAUGAAUGACCUCGCUCCAACAAAGUGGCUGUGAGCACAAGGAUUUGCGGCAAACUGACUGUGCAGGACCUGCUUCAUCUACGGAAAUCCGGGUGGCGGCCGGUUUUUCACCUAAACCUAUCAACCAACCCUAUCGACUAAACCUUUCAACCAAACCUAUCACCUAAGUUGCCAUCGUUGUAUUUUAUGACCAUGGAACUAUUGCAAAAUAAAAGAGGAGGAAAAGAAAGCAACUGUCUGACUCAUGAGUGGAGCCCAGCUCAUAACCCGAGUAGAUGAACAUCCUUUUUCAAGUGGGGAAACUGCACACUGCACACUUAUCCUCAGAAAAUCAUCAAUGAUAGACACGCGUCAUUGAAAGUGGGGGAACACUUGACAGUGUCUAACAGAUUAUUCCAGAAACUCUUUAGUUUCAGUUUCGUCUCCCAUGCCUCCACUCCAGCUUCAUUCCUUUGUUUGCCGGCUGCCUAUAGGCGUCUGGAUUAUUCAUGAGCUCCAUAUUGUUUCUGGCCAAUGCAGAAAACAUGUUUUUCCUCCUAUAUUAUCUUCAUUCUUCAUGCAUUGUUCUGGUCUACAGUGAGCAGGUUAAACUGCAGGAUGACUGCAGGUUACGGCAUUAAUCAUUUAUUCCAUUCCACUUCAGCCUUUUCAUAUAUUAAUGCUAAACAAUGUGCAGGAGAUGUUUGGUUUGAUUUCAGCCUCAUGAAAAUGUCAACAUCAUGUUCCUGCUGAGGUUAUUUUUGACUUUUAUGCCCACGGAUGUUCAUUUCUGCUGCAGGAUUGUAAAUAAUUUAAGCUUAUUUUACACAUUUUCCCUGUUUUGGUAAAUUACAGAUAAUAAAGUCAGAGAAAAAAAAAGCUUUUAUUUACAUGGUAAAUAAUGUCCACAUCAAAAUCUUUUUUUUUUUUUUUUUUCAAAUAGUAACUUUUUUAAACAGUGUUUGACUGUAAAAUAUUUUUCAAACUGAUGAUUAAUAUUAUGUUUAUUAAAGAUGGACUGCUGUUUUACAGAUUUUUACUGUUUUGUUAAAUUAGAGAUAAUUACAGUAAAAUCACAGAAAAAGAUUAUUAAUUGACAUCUUAACUGACAUGUUAACCCCUAAAAAACUGUAAAUAAUGUCCACAUCAAAAUAUAUGAAUCGACUUUUUUCUUACAAAAGAAGACUUUUAUUUAUUUGAAUUUACAGUGUUUGACCAUCAAAUAUAUAUUUUAACUGUAUUUAAAUGAACAGAAAAUAUUUUUAACUGAUAUUUCAGAUUUGAAAUUAUAGAAACAGAAAUUAUUUACAUGUGUGUUAAAAAUAAAUAAAAAUAAGUUCAAGCUGUACUGACCAUCAGAAAUCUGGAUAUUACAUGUAUGUAAUAGUACCACUGUUUGCUUGUUUGAUUUUACAGUUUUUGAAUAUUACCUGUAAUUUAAAAAAUAAUUUACUAUUAUUUGACAGAUUUUCUGUGUUUUGUUUACAGUUCACACAUCAUAAAUCCCUGAAAAAUAUAUUAAUUUACAUGUUAUAUACAUGCACACACACACAUAGAUAUGUAUAUAUCUAUGUGUGUGUGUGUGUGUGUGUCUAUACACACAAAUAAUACUUUUAUUUAUUUCAAAAAUAUAUCCUUUAAAUAUUUUUUAGAAUGUUUGACCUCAAAAUGUAUAUUUUAACUGUGUUAAAAUCAACAGAAAACAUGGUUGUUUUGCAGAUAUUUUCUGUUAUGUGAAAGAAAAAUUAUGUAUGAAAAGGAAUGAUUUGAUAACCGAUCACCAGAUUAAUUUGUUCUGUUUGACUGAAACCUGGUUGCAGCAGGAAGAAUAUGUUAGUCUAAAUGAAUCAACUCCUACUAGUCAUACUAACUGUCAUGUUCCUCCAAUCACGGGCCGAGGAGGAGGAGUGGCAGCAAUUUACCUCUCUAGCUUAAAAAUGAACCAGAGACCUAAACCUAGAUCUUACUCUGUCUCUCUAAUCCAGAUUUAAAAGCUCAGAAACCAGUUUUAUUUGUUGUUGUAUAUCGUCCUCCUGCUCCUUACUGAGUUUUUAUCUCAGUUCUCAGACUUUUUAUCUGAUUUAGUGCUCAGCUCAGAUAAAGUCAUUAUUGUGGGUGACUUUAACAUUCAUGUUGACGUGGACAGUGACAGACUUACGACUGCUUUUAAUUCAAUAUUAGACUCAAUUGGGUUUUCUCAACAUGUAAAUAAACCAACUCAUAGUUUUAAUCACACCCUUGACCUCGUUGUGACUUAUGGCAUAGAAAUCAAACAGUUAACAGUAUUUCCCCAGAACCCUCUUCUUUCUGACCAUUUUAUGGUAACAUUUCAAUUUACAACAAUAGAUUGUACAGGAGUUAGGGUUUGUUCCUCCUCCAGAACGUUCAUUUCCUCUCUGUAUUUGAACUCCCAGAGGUUUUUUUUUCUGCAGCCACCAAACGUGUAAUUAAAGCCCAUUAAUGCAGAGUUCAUGCAUGAAUCAUUUUCUAUUAGCGGCCAGCAGCGUCUCCCUGAAGCCUUCUCUGAUCGGGGUCGAUGUCGGCUCUGAGGGUCAACUUCAUUACCGUCUGAAUUUCAUCCAUCCUUAACCUCCGACCUCCAGCGUCGACCUUCAGGACAGAGUUCCUCCUCAGCACCACGGGUUUGUAAUCCGCCGUCCUGAAGACCCGACACCUAGGCGGUUUUAUUCCCAGGAGGGGGCUGGCGUAUAAUUACCAAAUAGAGCGUUGUCAGGAGCUGGUUCUGGUGGACUUCAUGCCUUUGUGCUCGUCUGACAGCGGCAUGGAUGGAAGUGUGGAGGCAGCAGAGCCUGGAGAACAUUAAAGAUUCUGUUUAACCUCCAGUCACCGGACGGCUUCCUGUCAGCUGAUUAUGAAGCAGAAACAUGGAUUAUACACUCUCGUUUUGUAAAGUUAUCCCUCUUUUUCUCCUCUCUCAUCUGUAUUUUCAGCUCUGGUCAGCGGUCAUUAACCACCGCAAAAGUCUUUGUCAUGGUGCUCGUUGUUAGCUAAACUACAUAUCAAAAUAUGUAUUUUUAAAUACAAGAAUUUAUCCUACUUGAUCCCGGCUUGUAUUAAAAACAUUAAUGCUGA